rnacentral:rRNA from 1 species
GAUGAACGCUGGCGGCGUGCCUAAUACAUGCAAGUCGAGCGAACAGACGAGGAGCUUGCUCCUUUGACGUUAGCGGCGGACGGGUGAGUAACACGUGGGUAACCUACCUAUAAGACUGGGAUAACUUCGGGAAACCGGAGCUAAUACCGGAUAAUAUUUCGAACCGCAUGGUUCGAUAGUGAAAGAUGGCUUUGCUGUCACUUAUAGAUGGACCUGCGCCGUAUUAGCUAGUUGGUAAGGUAACGGCUUACCAAGGCAACGAUACGUAGCCGACCUGAGAGGGUGAUCGGCCACACUGGAACUGAGACACGGUCCAGACUCCUACGGGAGGCAGCAGUAGGGAAUCUUCCGCAAUGGGCGAAAGCAUGACGGAGCAACGCCGCGUGAGUGAUGAAGGUCUUCGGAUCGUAAAACUCUGUUAUUAGGGAAGAACAAACGUGUAAGUAACUGUGCACGUCUUGACGGUACCUAAUCAGAAAGCCACGGCUAACUACGUG